rnacentral:rRNA from 1 species
CACCUAAUAGCUAGCCCCCUCCCCAAAAACAAAAAAUAACUAUCAAUACCCCCUAACAUACUCAAUCAACCAAAACAAACCAUUUUUCCCCCUAAGUAUGGGCGACAGAAAAGGACCUAAGAGCUACAGAUAAAGUACCGCAAGGGAACGCUGAAAGAGAAAUGAAACAACCCAGUUUAAGUACAAAAAAGCAGAGAUUAAACCUCGUACCUUUUGCAUCAUGAUUUAGCCAGCAAACCUUAGGCGAAGAGCACUUUAGUCUAAUUCCCCGAAACUGAGCGAGCUACUCCAAGACAGCCUAUAUAGGGCACAUCCGUCUCUGUGGCAAAAGAGUGGAAAGAGCUUUGAGUAGAGGUGACAAACCUACCGAGCCCAGUAAUAGCUGGUUGCCCGAAAAUUGAGUUUAAGCUCAGCUUUUUAGCUUCUUAGCUCACCAACCGUAUAAAACACAACCGAUUUUAAGAAACUAAAAAAGUUAGUCAAAGGGGGUACAGCCCCUCUGACCCAAGAAACAACUUUCACAGGAGAAUAAGGAUCAUAAUAACCAAGGCCACGUGUUUAGGUGGGCCUAAAAGCAGCCACCCUACCGAAAGCGUUAAAGCCCAAACACACACGCGCCACUAAUACCGAUAAAUACAUCCUAACCCCUGAUCUUUAUCGGGCCUUUCUAUGCACCCAUAGAAGAGACUAUGCUAAUAUGAGUAAUAAGGGGCCAGACCCCCUCCAAGCACAAGUGUACAUCGGAACGAACUCACACCGAAGACUAACGAACCCAACCAAAGAGGGUAAUGAAUACUAAACCAAAAACAAGAAAAACAUUCACAACCCCGCCGUUAACCCCACACUGGUGUGCCUAAUUGGAAAGACUUAAAGAAAAAGAAGGAACUCGGCAAACCUACAAGGCCUUCGCCUGUUUACAAAAAACAUCGCCUCUUGCAAAAACAACGAAUAAGAGGUCCCGCCUGCCCUGUGACUAUACGUUUAACGGCCGCGGUAUUUUGACCGUGCAAAGGUAGCGCAAUCACUUGUCCUUUAAAUGGGGACCUGUAUGAAUGGCACGACGAGGGCUUAACUGUCUCCUUUUUCAAGUCAAUGAAAUUGAUCUUUCCGUGCAGAAGCGGGAAUAAAGACAUAAGACGAGAAGACCCUAUGGAGCUUUAGACAUAAAACAGAUCACGUCAAACACCCUUAGAAAAAAGAACAAACUAAGUGAGCCCUGUUCAAAUGUCUUUGGUUGGGGCGACCGCGGGGCAACAAAAAACCCCCAUGUGGAAUAAAAACACCCUUUUUAAAACUAAGAGCCACCGCUCUAAUGAACAGAACAUCUGACCAACCAGAUCCGGCCUAGCCGAUCAACGAACCGAGUUACCCUAGGGAUAACAGCGCAAUCCUCUUUUAGAGCCCAUAUCGACAAGAGGGUUUACGACCUCGAUGUUGGAUCAGGACAUCCUAAUGGUGCAGCCGCUAUUAAGGGUUCGUUUGUUCAACGAUUAAAGUCCUACGUGAUCUGAGUUCAGACCGGAGUAAUCCAGGUCAGUUUCUAUCUAUGAAGUGCCCUUUUCUAGUACGAAAGGACCGAAAAGGAGAGACCCCUGCCAAAAGCACGUCCCCCUCUCACCCGUUGUCUCCAACUAAAACAGACAAGAGAGCACGCAACAACAGCCAAAGAACAUGACAU